rfam:Triticum aestivum genome assembly, contig: Triticum_aestivum_CS42_TGACv1_scaffold_130117_2BL
UAGAUACUCCCUCCGUCUGGAAAUACUUGUCGGAGGAAUGGAUGUAUCUAGAUAUAUUUUAGUUCUAGAUACAUCUAUCUUUAUGCAUUUCUGCGACAAGUAUUUCCGGCCAAAGGGAGUACUUG